GAUGAAGAACGCAGCGAAAUGCGAUAAGUAAUGUGAAUUGCAGAUUUCAGUGAAUCAUCGAAUCUUUGAACGCACCUUGCGCCUUGUGGUAUUCCACAAGGCAUGCCCGUUUGAGUAUCAUUAAAUCAUCAACUCUAAAACCUUUGUGGUUUUUUUAGAGCUUGGUCUUGAGGGUUUUGCAGGCUUUUUUUUUUCGAGUCUGCUCCCUUUAAAUGCAUUAGCGAGACUUCCCUAUGCUGAACCGUCUCUUUGACGUGAUAAUUAUCUGCGUCGAAUUUUGGUUCUCGUUGGGCUUGCUUCUAAUCGUCUGUUAAAGACAAAACGGAUUUGGGUGCAUAUAUGCGCCUUUUUCCAAAACCUUUUUUGAUCUCAAAUCGGGUAGGACUACCCGCUGAACUUAAGCAUAUCAAAAGCGGAGGA
rnacentral:misc_RNA from 1 species